CCUAGCUGGUGGAAUGGAAGCCUGGAGCUGCCGAUGGCUCUCUUUGUCAAUUUCCCUGUUCUACACUUUCAUAUGAAUGGAAUCCACUUUACCACAUGUUGUCUGAGCCUAGACCUCUCUUAAAUUCCAAUGAUGGUGACUGCCUGUUUGACAUCUCCACCAGAGAGCCAAUGCACAGCCAAACCCAUCGUGUCCAAGACCAGGCUCCUGAUUGUGUGCCCUCCCAAAACCUUGACCUGAUGCCAGCUGUCCCCAUUUAGCUGGAGAAAAGUGGAUUUAAUUAGAGGAGACGAGACAUUUGUGAAGAUGCUGAAGACAAUGUCUGGACACUGUCAAAGGCCUCACAAGUUGAAGCCUCACAGAGAAGAUCCACCAAAAUGGAGUCCUGAAGGAAGUAAAUGAAGAUACCUGAGGAAGAGUUCCCCCAAGCAGAGGCAAUAGCCAGAGCAAAGGCUCAAGAAUGACCAGUUUAAUCAAUAAGAAAGGCUAUUGACUCAAGAAGCUUGCAGUCCAGAGGCAGAUGGAGCCCGCAAGAUCAACUGAUUCAGUAGCUGAAUGUUGGUGUCAAGGAUUCAGAUUUUGGUACAUCUCUCUGCUCAGCAGUCUUCAAGUAUCAGGGGUUUCAGAGAUCUCCGGCAAGGGUUUGUAUUCUGGGCUACUCAUGGCCAUAUUGCUUCUAUGAAAGGAGAACCUGACAAGAAAGGAGCCAACACAAAGCCAUGAGAUAGAGUGGAAGGUUUCUGAUAACAUCCUUUGAACACCUGGAUCCAGCUGGACCUGAAUACCUCAUUGGGAUGAAAUUGGGACACAGACACAGACAGAGGGAGACCACACGAAGAGACACAGCGAGAAGAUGGCCAUCUGCAAACCGAGGAGAGAAGCCUCAAAAGAAAUCCACCCUGCUGACACCCUGAUCUCGGAUGUCCAGCCUCCAGAACCAUGUGGACACAUGUUUCUAUGGUUUAAGUUGGCUAGUCUGCGGUGCUGUCACAGACAACAGCCCAAGCAGACAUAUACAACAGGGCAAAAGUGGCCCCUGGGACGCUGCCAGGGCAGCUGCUGCGAUUUCUCAGGUGAGAACACAGUCUGGAGGUGACAGGCAGAUGGCCCCCAGAGGGCCUCAAAGGUCUGCAGCAGGGCGAGGCCCGAGACCAGACAUGUCCGCUUCCCAACAACUUCUAGCUGUGCCGAGAAGGGCAGGGCUUGGUGCCUAUUACAUCUGGAAAACUGCUCUCUGACCAUAUUCCUGCAUGCUUCCCCACCUCGUGGGACUGAUUUGGCUGCCCUGGGCCUUAAACAGACUGCGUCAAACCCGAAACUUUUUUUUUUCCUCCUGCCUCUUGGACACAGUGGCAUUUUCUAAAGUUGGUCACACCAAGAAAUUUUUAUCAAGAAAGUCAGAUCAUUUUUCUUCCUUUGAGGACAUAAUCACACCCACGGGUAUACUUUGUCAAUUGUUUUGUGAAAACUUGGCAUUUGGACACUUCUCACGGUUUUAACUAUGUAUAGUUCUAGAAGCAAAACACUCAGACUUUUAUCCUUUUAUAUUUGAAUGUUUAUAUAUUGCGGUUUAUGUAAUUACAUAUACUGAGAUUGUUAUUAAAGUAAAGGAAAAUGCAUACAUCUUAGGUGUACACCUCGAUGAAGUUUUCCCCUGUUUAGACUGCUAUAACUCCCAUCCAGAUCAAGGUGAGAAAACCCAUCUGAUAGAGCCCCACCAUUCCCCUCAGGAGGGUGACCUUGCCUGAAACUGCAUUCUUUGCUAAAAACUUCCUCUGUUCACUCCCCUUCUGUCAUUAAAAACUUUUCCUUUUCUAUAGAUUUGGUAGAGCUUUUUUUUCUGAUGGGGAUGCUCUCUGAUUCAUGAACCAUUGAAUAAAGCCAAUUUAAUCUUUAAAUUUAUUCAGGUGAAUUUGUUUAACAGGUUCAGUUGGUAGCUGUGGGAUCUAAAGUGAAAUCCAAAGUGAUGGCAUUUGGGGACAGCAAGAAACAGGCAUGGUGCCCUGUAAAAACCCUGUUGAGAUCACUCCCUUUCUUGCCAUUUCUGAGAUCCAUGAGUAAAUCCCUCUUGAUUCUGAGCUCUGUUCGUUUUGCAUUGAACUCCCAAUCUAAUUGACUUUCCAGACCAGAGCUUAAUGGGUAGACUUACUGGCAGACAGUUCCAUCUGGAAUGCGAAUCCCUGGGCUUUGGUUCAGUCCGCAAUUCCUCAGUUCCAGCCCGCAGUCUCCACUUUAAGAUUGACUUUAUGGAACCAAUAAAACCUUUUGGAAAAGUCAACCUGGUACCUUGCUCACAAGGUUUCAG